CGGGAACACACUCUUUCUUCAAGAAAAUUCAACUCGCAACAAGACAACCUACCUUCUGGACUCCAGCUUUCCCUUGCCAUGCUGGAUCACGUCACUGAGCCGACUAACAGAGAGCGGGCCACAGGCUCAUCUGUAGACAUCGGAUGACAUGAUGCUUAACACUCCACAUACUAUAGACCCAACCCCUCAGAACUUACCAGCCUGGAGUAAACACCCUUCACUGAGGUGUAUAACAUAAGAUACAAUAAAGCACAAGAUACUCCAAAUGAAGUAUAAUUCUGAACAAAGAAAAGAGAGCAUGUGUGGGCAGGAUGUGACCCUUGUGUCCUGGUGUCUGUGGAGUUGAGCAGAGUUCAAGACACACACAAGUGUCCAACAAACAGUGAAAGCACCUGCAGUCCGUUAACUCUUUCAGAAACAGAUUAAACAUACCAAAGUUAAAACAGCCCAAGAAACAAUUUCUUGUACCUUAUCAAAUCACAUUGGAAUAAAACCAUCUCUUCAGAAUGUGACCUUAUUUGGCAACAAAAGUUGUGACCGCCCUUCAUUUAGGUGGUUGCACAGGAGAGCAGAAUGGCCCCUAAUCCAACAUGAGGAUGUCCUUAUAGAAGUGGGAACCUGACAGACGAAGACCAUGGAAGAACACAAUGUGAACAGAUGACAUGGAUCAGGGUGACGUGUUCCUCCACCAGGUAACUGUAAAACCUGCAACAAACUGCCAGCAGACAGAGCAGAACCAACUGCCCCUCAGCCUUCAGAAGGAACCAGCUGCGCUGGCAUUGUGACCUUAGAUUUUCAGCCUGCACAAUGACAAUCCAUAAACCUCUGUGCUUCAAGCUUCUCAUUUUGCUCCACCUGCCACAGGAGUCGGCAAAGGCACAGACACAGCUCCACUCAGCACAAACACCACUGCUGCCUGCACUCUUUCCCUGUCCCUCCUACACCCUCAUUUCACAGCACCCUUUACUUUUCCUUUAUGGCAGCUAUAUUUACCUGUGAUUAUACUCAUUUUGAUCUCCUCUAGCAACCAUAAAGUAGGCCAGGCCAGGGUCUUAACAGCUCUCCCUGUGUUGGUGUUUUUGAAGUUCUAAUUCCUAUCUGUGAUGUUAUUUUUGGUUAUCAACUUGACUACAUCUGGAAUUAAUGAAACCCAAGCAGCUGGGCACACCUGUGAGGGGUAUUUUCCUCAAUUAAGUCAUUUGAAGUGGGAAGAGCCACUUCUCAUCCAGAUCUUUUGAGGUGGGGUGAUCCACCUUUAGUCUGGGCCACACCUCCUGCUGGCAGCCUGUAUGAAGGGCAUGGAAGAGGAAGAGUUUGCUCUUGCCUGCUGGUCCUCACUCUCUUGGGCAAGUCUAUUUCUUCCCUGGAGCCUACUUCUUUGGGAUUCAGGCAUGUACUGAAGACUAGUUAAAAUAUCCAGCCUUGUGGACUGAACAAAUACUGGAUUCUUGGACCUUCCAUUGGUAGACUACCAUUUUUGGACUAGCUGGACCUCAGCCUGUAAGCCAUUCUAAUAAAUCUAAAUAAGUAACUAUGGAGACAGAGAAAGAAGAGAGAGAUAGAUUAAUCCUUUAGGUUCUGUUCCUCUAGAGAACUCUGACUAAUGCAGUAUCUGAAAUUACUUUAGUUUUUAAGUACUUAUUUAGUGCUUCCUUGUGUCUCCACAGAGCAUAAUCCCAGGUUUAACAAUGCCAGAUACAUAACUGAUGUGCACGCAUUAUCCCUUAAACACCUGCUUUCCUCACUGUGACAUAUAGAAUGCAAAGCAUAGAGAAAGCCAGCUAUAUAAAAGCAAUCAAUAACUGUACAUGAUGAAUAAAUGAGUGAAUGAGCCUACUUAACAAUUAUAACAAUUAUAAUAAGAGUCACUUAUUAUGAAGUGACUCUCACCUGUAACAUCAGGGAUUGGGAGGCUGAGGCAAGAGGAUCCUGAAUAAGAAGCCAGCCUGAGCUAUUCGUACAUAGUGAGAAUAUGUGUCAAACAAAGAAACAACAAAUCACUUAGGAUACCUGCAAGGCUGGAGACCACAGAGUUACAAAUGCUAAUGUAAGUCUUCUUGGUAACACCAAUUUACUUUAUAGCUCAUAUGUACUACUUAGAAACAAGCCAACAACAGUUGAAGGGCACAGUUCUCAUCUAUGAUUGACCUCAAAAUGACCUACAUUCAUGAAAGAACAAUACAAAAUUACUUUCUUAAAUGAGGUCAGCAAAAUGGGAAAGAAAAUGAGAAAGGAUGAAAAGUUUUUCAAGAAAACAAAAUAAAAAGUUGCCUUCAUUUUUCUGCUUACAAAAUGCUAGCAACGUUAAUUCUUAAGUAAUUGUUUCCCACAGCUGGAUGUCUCUGACACACCGUGCUGCUUUUCCUUUGUCUGUGUAUUACAGCCUGUGCCUCAGAGGAUACAGUCUGCUAAGCUGUAGUGAUGUGUGGCUAGUAGUCAUGGGACACAGUCACAAAGUGACACAAUGAGCCAAUGAGAAGCUUCCGUUCCUGGGAGAAUCCUCCUCACAUACAUCAAAGACAUCACCCCAAAGACUGCUGUUUGCACCCUGCUUUUAGUUAUAGCCUCUUGAAAAGCCUCUUUCUAAACAGUCUGCAGAACUGGAGGAAAGUUUGGAAAACAGCUUAGCUUCACCACCCAUCAGUUCAACAGAGAGCCCAUCCAUGAACCCUGGAUGCCAAACAGCUGGCAUUUAGAGGCUUGAACACUAAUUUAUUUAAUUCUAGCUUGCUAAGAUCAAGAGCCUUUUUCAUUCU